UCAUGGCCUCUUUGGAGCUGCAGCUGCUGCGGUCAAAGGAGUCCAGAGUGUUUUUCCUUGGUCGCUGUUCUGUUCCUUAACUGAUUUGCAACAUUUCAGGAAAACAGUU